GAGUGGCACAAGCAAAUAAUUAAAACUUUUAACAACGGAUCUCUUGGUUCUGGCAUCGAUGAAGAACGCAGCGAAAUGCGAUAAGUAAUGKGAAUUGCAGAAUUCAGUGAAUCAUCGAAUCUUUGAACGCACAUUGCGCUCGCCAGCAUUCUGGCGAGCAUGCCUGUUCGAGCGUCAUUUCAACCCUCAAGCACCGCUUGGUUUUGGGGCCCCACGGCCGACGUGGGCCCUUAAAGGUAGUGGCGGACCCUCCCGGAGCCUCCUUUGCGUAGUAACUAACGUCUCGCACUGGGAUCCGGAGGGACUCUUGCCGUUAAACCCCCAAAUUCUUUACAGGUUGACCUCGGAUCAGGUAGGAAUACCCGCUGAACUUAAGCAUAUCAAUAAGCGGAGGAA
rnacentral:rRNA from 1 species